rnacentral:misc_RNA from 1 species
GUGAAUCAUCAAAUUUUUGAACGCAAAUUGCAGUCUCCUCGGAGAGUAUGCCUGUUUGAGGGUCAGCCUAUAAAAAAUCGACAUCGUUGCUGUUUCGCGGUGGCGUUCGUCGGAAAUUGGGUCAUCUUAAAUCUUUGGUUUUUAGGGGAUUAAAAUUUUUCUUUUUGUUUCAAGGACGGUUUUUAGGAUUAUUUCCUUAAAAGGUUUAGGGUAU